rnacentral:ncRNA from 1 species
UAUGGAAAGACAAUCCGAACUGACUAACCUCGUUUUUUUAAUGGUUUUUCAGUCGAUAGAGGAUGGUUGGAAACGGCCAUGCUUACCAGUGUGUAAAGGAUGGUGGCUUCAUAAAAU